GACGAACGCUGGCGGCGUGCUUAACACAUGCGAGUCGAACGGAAAGGCCCUGCUUUUGUGGGGUGCUCGAGUGGCGAACGGGUGAGUAACACGUGAGUAACCUGCCCUUGACUUUGGGAUAACUUCAGGAAACUGGGGCUAAUACCGGAUAGGAGCUCAUGCUGCAUGGUGGGGGUUGGAAAUUUUCGGCGGUUGGGGAUGGACUCGCGGCUUAUCAGCUUGUUGGUGGGGUAGUGGCUUACCCAGGCUUUGACGGGUAGCCGGCCUGAGAGGGUGACCGGCCACAUUGGGACUGAGAUACGGACCAGACUCCUACGGGAGGCAGCAGUGGGGAAUAUUGCACAAUGGGCGGAAGCCUGAUGCAGCAACGCCGCGUGCGGGAUGACGGCCUUCGGGUUGUAAACCGCUUUCGCCUGUGACGAAGCGUGAGUGACGGUAAUGGGUAAAGAAGCACCGGCUAACUACGUG
rnacentral:rRNA from 1 species